rnacentral:rRNA from 1 species
UACGUAGGGUGCAAGCGUUAUCCGGAAUUAUUGGGCGUAAAGAGCUCGUAGGCGGUUUGUCGCGUCUGCCGUGAAAGUCCGGGGCUCAACUCCGGAUCUGCGGUGGGUACGGGCAGACUAGAGUGCAGUAGGGGAGACUGGAAUUCCUGGUGUAGCGGUGAAAUGCGCAGAUAUCAGGAGGAACACCGAUGGCGAAGGCGGAUCUCUGGGCCGAUACUGACGCUGAGGAGCGAAAGCGUGGGGAGCGAACAGG